rnacentral:rRNA from 1 species
GACGAACGCUGGCGGCGUGCUUAACACAUGCAAGUCGAACGGAAAGGCCCUGCUUUUGUGGGGUGCUCGAGUGGCGAACGGGUGAGUAACACGUGAGUAACCUGCCCUUGACUUUGGGAUAACUUCAGGAAACUGGGGCUAAUACCGGAUAGGAGCUCCUGCUGCAUGGUGGGGGUUGGAAAGUUUCGGCGGUUGGGGAUGGACUCGCGGCUUAUCAGCUUGUUGGUGGGGUAGUGGCUUACCAAGGCUUUGACGGGUAGCCGGCCUGAGAGGGUGACCGGCCACAUUGGGACUGAGGUACGGCCCAGACUCCUACGGGAGGCAGCAGUGGGGAAUAUUGCACAAUGGGCGGAAGCCUGAUGCAGCAACGCCGCGUGCGGGAUGACGGCCUUCGGGUGGUAAACCGCUUUCGCCUGUGACGAAGCGUGAGUGACGGUAAUGGGUAAAGAAGCACCGGCUAACUACGUG